UACGGGGGGGCGAAGCGUUGUUCGGAAUUACUGGGGCGGUAAAGGGCUCGUAGGCGGCCAACUAAGUCGGAUGUGAAAUCCCCAGGCUUAACCUGGGAACUGCAUCCGAUACUGGAAUGGCUUGAAUCCGGGAGAGGGAUGGCAGGAAUUCCAGGGUGAUAGUGCGGUGAAAUGACGUAGAUAUCUGGAGGAAUACCGGUGGCGAAGGCGGCAUCCUGGACCGGCAUUGGACGCUGAUGAGGCGAAAGCUAAGGGGAGCAAAGCGGGGAUUAAGAAACCCG
rnacentral:rRNA from 1 species